rnacentral:rRNA from 1 species
GCAUAUCAAUAAGCGGAGGAAAAGAAACCAACAGGGAUUGCCUUAGUAACGGCGAGUGAAGCGGCAAAAGCUCAAAUUUGAAAUCGGCCCCCAGGUCGAGUUGUAAUUUGUAGAUUGUAUUUUUGAUUUGGUUAAAGUCUGUUGGAACACAGCGCCUUAGAGGGUGAGAGCCCCGUAAAACCUAUUCAAUUGUAAAAUACUUUCAAAGAGUCGAGUUGUUUGGGAAUGCAGCUCUAAGUGGGAGGUAAAUUCCUUCUAAAGCUAAAUAUUGGCGAGAGACCGAUAGCGAACAAGUACAGUGAUGGAAAGAUGAAAAGAACUUUGAAAAGAGAGUGAAAAAGUACGUGAAAUUGUUAAAAGGGAAGGGUACUAAAUCAGACGUGGGUGUUGUGUUCAACUUUGUUUUGGCAAAGUGUACUCGCAACAUCUAGGCCAAGGUGGGAUAGUUGGGCAGGAAAAAGCUUGAGGAAAGUGGCUCUUCGGAGUGUUAUAGCCUUUUGUAAUACUGCCUCGACUGUCUCAGGACUGCGCAUUUGCUAGGAUCUGGGCGUAAUGAUUUUGUACCGCCCGUCUUGAACACGGAACC